AUACGAAGGGGGCUAGCGUUGUUCGGAAUUACUGGGCGUAAAGCGCACGUAGGCGGACUCUUAAGUCAGGGGUGAAAUCCCGGGGCUCAACCUCGGAACUGCCUUUGAUACUGUGAGUCUUGAGACCGGAAGAGGUGAGUGGAAUUCCUAGUGUAGAGGUGAAAUUCGUAGAUAUUAGGAAGAACACCAGUGGCGAAGGCGGCUCACUGGUCCGGUUCUGACGCUGAGGUGCGAAAGCGUGGGGAGC
rnacentral:rRNA from 1 species